AUGCUUUUUAUUCUGAAAGCUGUCUUUUUCCUCACUCCUUUGUAUUUUAGUUCUCUCUGCUUUUCUCCAUGCUCUGAAUGUGCUUUGUUGAUAUGCCAACAGGUUACUUGCAGCGGAGAAUCUAACAAACAGGUUUCUGGCCUUUGCAAUGGAGAGAUUGCAUUUCACCAUUUUGAGAAUCCAACAAGGGUUUCACUGAAUGGGUCGAUGAUUACCAGCGACUUUAGUGUCAUCAUCUUUGGACACAUUUCCUUUAAUGACAUGUUUGCCUGCCUGCAACUUCAUGCCAGCACUAACAUCCAGCCUCAUUUGGAAAUUGACUUCCAGCAUUCCUUGCCUCAGCUUCAAUCUCUGGGUAUUUCCAAAGAGAAUCAAAUGAAAGUGUCAGCUAUCAGAAGUGACAAAUAUAAGGGGAUGCUUGAUGUCAUCUUCGGGCCUUGCAGUUUCAAAGCUGAUGGAGAAGUGAGCCUGAAUGCAAUGACACAGAAAUAGAAUUACUUACUUUUACAAACAAGUGUGUCAGCCUAGAGGUAAGCAUCAAUUGUUUUCUGUAUGGUGUUAUAACCGUUCUAUUUCAAACUAUCAGGAAUUACAGAGAACUCUCUCCUGAUACAGGAGUAUCUUUAAUGACAGUUUUGGUCAUUAAAGUAGUUCUGGUACAGCACCGAGUGUGAGUGCUUGCAGAGGGAGUGUAUUUAAAGUUGAGAAUUUAGGGUAGUACAAUGGCAGAUGUUAUUGCUGUUGCAAUAAAAUAGUUGCUUAAUUGUAGCUUUUUAAUUAGAAUAAACUCUUGUUUUGAAAUCUAAUGAAAAUCGUGUACUUAAAAUUCUGGAGGAUUUCUUUGGGGUUAUGAACUUUUCCUUCUACAGUAUUUCUUAAAAGGAUGUUUUAGCUUUAUUUUUUUUUUUUUUUUCCAUUCUGUUUAUUUUGGGGGUAAUUUCUGAUUUCUCUGUGAAAACAGCUGUCUUGUAUGGUCCUUUCCAAAAGCAUAUCGGUUCAGAAAGAAGAAAUGCUUUCUGAUUAAUUAGUAGGACAGUUUUUUUAAUUUAUUUGCUUUAAAUAAUGUCAUCUUUUCUGUUGCAGAGAAUGGGACUGCCACAUGCUGUAGCCUUUGGGGGCUCAUUUCAAAAGAACACCUGCAAUAUUGACUUGUUGAUGAACCUCCAGUAUGAUGGCAAAACAGUUGAUGUGCAGAUGGAUACUUCCUGCAAAAACAAAUAUGCCUUCCAAGGGAUGCUCAGGCUUUCAGUUCCCUGGACGAGUCAACUUGGGCUGCCUUUUGAAAACUCUGUCCUGUUCUCUGCUUCCACAGAGUCCACCACUGGGGGCAUUUUGUUGCUGCAGGCUGGCAAAUGCAAACUUAAGGCUAGAGGAGAUCUCUGUAUACAGAAUAAAGCUGAAUGGACACUGGAAACAGAAUGUCAGCUUCUGCAGGUAGCUCUUGGAGGCUUUUAACAAGAGACUUGGGAUCAAAUGAGGGCCACAUAGAGAUUUAGCUAAAACAACAGUGAAUGUUGGAAAACUACUUUAAAGACAUAUCUGUCUUACUGCAUUAGGCAAAAAGGUAUCUAAGGGAUCCUGUUGUUUGUAGCUGUUCUCUGUAAGCUAAGAUUAUUUCAGUGUCUUUAUUGCUUGUUGUCCUGGCAGGCUGAACAGCAAUUUUAGUUUGAACCAUUUGUCAGAGAAAUGCUUUCUCUAUUCUCUCUUUUUUUAUCAUAGUAGAAGUUGUGAAAUUUCCUUGGUUUUCAUAUCCAGCAUCACUGACUGAAUUAGGAAGAAAGACUAUUGUGAGAUUGGGGGUUAUUUCCAGAUGUUCAUAGGCAUUUAUGUUUUGCUUUUAGCUCCCCAGUUUUAACUUUCUCAGCUGCAAAGUAGCAAGAUUAAAAUAAAAAUGAUGGGAAUGUGUUUAUCAUAGUAUUUUCAUAGUCAUGAAGAGGGAAUAUAAACCACUUAAAAUAUUAAAAACAGUAGAGUUUUCAGUAUCUUUGCAAAUAUUUCAGAAAAAUGAGAUGAAAUGUUUCAUUUGGGAUGUUACAUAGGACAAACCUGAAGCUUUAGUAUCAAAAAAUAAAACAAAAUCUUGGAAUGCCAGAUGCAAGAAUAUAUUUUAGGCCUAUUAUUUUGUGGGUGUUAAUGUGUUCUGAAAAUUGAGAUUGGUCUGGUCUGAAUGAAGCAGAGGAUGGUCAAUAAACCUUGCUACUCUGAAGAAAGUGGCAUUUUGCAUUUUUGUAAAUGUGUAAAAUUUUGUAUAAAGAAAGAAUUUGUAAAUUUUGCAGGGCAGUCCAAAAUCUUCCCUCAGACUUUAUUCAGGCCAAAUAGUCACCUUAUCAUUGGGAGUGAGAAAAGCAGGAGUGCAGGGAUUGCAGGCUUUGUCUCUGAUUUUGUAGCAUAAGAUCUCCUUCCUUUUGUGCUGUAGGGAAAAGAAAAAUUAAUCAAAAUUUACUCAUCUCAAUGUGUAUGUAUAAUCAAGGGGAUUUUUUUUUAUUUUUUUAUUUUUAUUUUUU
rnacentral:lncRNA from 1 species